GGUACAUACAGAGGNCCGCCAACCCGCGAGGGGGANCUAAUCCCAGNAAGUGUAUCGUAGUCCGGAUUGUAGUCUGCAACUCGACUACAUGNAGUUGGAAUCNCUAGUAAUCGCGGAUCAGCAUGUCGCGGUGAAUACGUUCCCGGGUCUUGUACACACCGCCCGUCACACCAUGGGAGCGGGUUUUACCAGAAGUAGGUAGCUUAACCGCAAGGAGGGCGCUUACCACGGUAGGAUUCGUGACUGGGGUGAAGUCGUAACAAGUUAACC
rnacentral:rRNA from 1 species